UUCCCAUGAAGAAACUUUCACACAUCUUACUUCCUGUCCUAGCACCAGAGCCUGAAAAGGUGAACCCCUUCCAUAUUCUUUCCCUUCCCAAUUGACU